rnacentral:rRNA from 1 species
UACGGGGGGGGCAAGCGUUGUUCGGAAUUACUGGGCGUAAAGGGUGCGUAGGCGGCUUUCUAAGUUGGAUGUGAAAACUCUGGGCUCAACCCCAGAGCCUGCAUCCAAAACUGGAAGGCUAGGGUUCUGGAGGGGAAAGCGGAAUUCCUGGUGUAGCGGUGAAAUGCGUAGAUAUCUGGAGGAACACCGGUGGCGAAGGCGGCAUCCUGGGACCGACACUGACGCUGAGGCGCGAAAGCUAGGGUAGCAAACGGG